UACGAAGGGUGCAAACGUUGCUCGGAAUUAUUGGGCGUAAAGCGCACGUAGGCGGCUUGGCAAGUCGGAUGUGAAAGCCCUCGGCUCAACCAAGGAAGUGCAUCCGAAACUGCUGAGCUUGAGUACUUAAGAGGAUCGCGGAAUUCCCGGUGUAGAGGUGAAAUUCGUAGAUAUCCGGAGGAACACCAGAGGCGAAGGCGGCCUACUGGGUCAGUACUGACGCUGAGCCGCGAAAGCCAGGGGAGCGAACGGG
rnacentral:rRNA from 1 species